CCAGGCGCCUAAAAUCUUUUGUCUGUAAAACGAUGUCGAUUUCUUGGGAAAUUCCGAGGUUGCGCUUUUUUUGAUACACCCUGUAUUUCAAACUUUAAUACAUAAUCACGUUUCGCUGCAUCCCGCCAAGAUUAUUUCUUAAGACUGUUUCCAGGUAUUUUCCACAGGUCGCUAUUAUGCACCUUAUUAGCACACUUAGGUCGCUAUUAUGCACCUUAUUAGCACAUAUCCUUUAUGUAACCAAUCAAAUAAUUUGAGAUUUUUGGCUACGCAAAUUUUAUUACUGGAUAUAAGCUCGUUUACGCCCUUAGAUGCAGGUCAACUAAUACAAAAUGACUGAAAAACGGCAAACUUCGCAGGCCUAUAUUAUCCUCAUUUUACAACAUUUUGCAACGAAACUUCGGAAUAUUACUAAUUUUGUGAUGCUGUUUCAAGCUGUGAUGAAAUUUUUAGAUAUACUGCAUGUGGAGCUACUGUAAAUAUUGUUUUUCCCCUCUUUAAAAUAAAGUAUUAAUUAAGUAACUAAGUCUAAGGACUUGAACAAAGGCAGUAGAAUAAUGUGCCAAUGAGUAAAGUAAAAUGAAAAUACAGCGCAUCGCAGUUGGUUAUAAAUCUCCAAAGUAUAAAAGAAAACAUUGAAGCGGCGACAAUAUGGGUAAAUGUGAGCAAAAUAUUCCAC